CAGUUGCCUUCCCUAGCAGGUCUGUGAUCACCUCAUUAUCUGUGUGCUGCUCAAUAUAUACUGUUAAGUUGAAAUUCAUCUGAGAAGUAAAGUCACAGGAAAGCAUUAACAAUUGGAGUGGCAUAAUAGGAGAAAUAAAAGAUGAAACUGACCUGAGGACAGCCAUGACAGAUGAACUGAAGAUCCUGGAGAAUGUGUGAGCUGUAAUCAACUGUAGAGAGAUCCAUAGCAUUAUUUGCUGCAGUCUGCAGAAACAGGAAGUCUUCCCAUACCUUUGAAUCCUCCUGAAUAACAUUGGAUGGAAUGUUAAUACAAUAAAUGGGAAAAGACAAAGAUAUGCGAACACUACAAUUUGAAAACUUUUUCCAGGUUCUAGCAGUUAGCUCCAGAGGCAACAGAUGAACAGGUUCGGUUGCCGGAUAAAGUUUGGAAGAUUAGACUGAAGUAACCAGACAGUUGGUGCAGCAAUCCUGGGCAGUUUCCACAAGGAAGGCAUAUGGUCUGUUCAUGAGGUUUUGUCAGAAGAUCUAUUCAGAGUGGGAAAAGACCAAU